rnacentral:lncRNA from 1 species
UGCUCUCUUCUAAGUGAUUUGAUUAUCUUUUUGUUUGGUUUCUUUCAUGCAAUUUUGUGCUAUAUAAUUUCUACCUCCGCGUUUAUUUUUCAGAAAACUUGUCCUGUUGGAUCAUGAACUAGCUUCAGAUUCCAACUUUGAUUUCUGUUUUGUUGAUGUUUUCCGUUAAUUAAGUCUAGGUUCAUUCAUUGUCAUUCUUAUGUUCCAUGAUUUUUCCAAGAAUCUUGAUACUGUUGGACAGUGGUUUGAUUAUCUUUUUGCUGUUUUCUUUCCAGCCAUGAUUAUCUUUAUUCUUAUGUUUCCUUCUGCAUUAUAAAUAUUCUUAUGUUUCCUUCUGAAACGUUUCAAUAAUCUUGGACCUAACAUUGUUAUUCAAAAUCAAUUAAUAAUCCUACUACUUUUGUUUAGCUUACAGUUAAAGAAGCAAACUCAAAAACGCCUCAAAGGGACAUUUGUUUUGAGAACCGGCCUUUGGCUUAUUGGUAUAAUCGAUAACCGAAUCGAUAAGCCCCAAAAAUCGAUAAAUCGAAAUCGAGAAAAUCGAAACCUUAUUGAAACGAUAACGAUAAGCAUAUGUUUAAAUCGAUAAUCGAUAAAUAAUUAUCGAUAAGGGCCAAAAUCGAAUCGAUAAAUUGAAUGCACACCCCUAGCCAGAAAAGGUCUUUAUAAAGUUAUAUAGCGCCACUUUUAAUGGCACUGUACAGGUUUGUGGCAGCUUUUUUGUAUAGCGCUAGAAAAAGUGGCGCUAUACAGUAACGCUGCAGUUAUUGUUACUGUAUAGCGCCACUAUUUCUGGCAUUAUAUAUAAUAUAGUAAUUUUUUUUAAUAUUUACGUAUUUUGAGUCCAAAAGAACUAAAUUUUAGUUCCGGACUCAGGAACAGAUGUAUAAAUCGAUAAUCGAUAAGUAAUUAUCGAUAAGGGUCGAAACCGAAUCGAUAAAUCGAAUGCACAUCCCUAAAAGAGAUCAUAAAAGUAAAUCAAAAGUUUUAACAAUCACCAUAUCAUCAAAUAAACGAACCAUAUAAUCUUUCACAUAAUUCCAUAACUUAGUUUGGAGUACUUGAUAUUGUUCAUCAUCUUUCAUAAUACCACCGCUUCCUCGAGCCGAGUCUGAUCACGAUCCGAUCGGCUAGGUUGCCUCAUUUGAGACAUGUAUCUCAAUCACAUAUAAUACCACCGCUUCCUAGAGCGGAGUCUGAUCACGAUCCGAUCGGCUAGGUUACCUCAUUUGAGACAUGUAUCUCAAUCACAAUCUCAUUCUCAAUUUUCAGAAUUCAAUAUCAAUACAAUACCACCAUGUGUGCGGCAUGGUGUCCGAUCACGGCCCGAUCGGCUAGGCCGCGUUACCUACGCAUUGUUCCUUUCUCAUUAAUCAUCUCAUUUCAAUCUUCAUUUCACAUAUAUCAAUUCAUAGGCACUUGGGGCCACAAUUAUUACAUCAUACUUGGCACUAGGCCAUAUUUCAGAACUCAAUCUCUUCUUUC